rnacentral:rRNA from 1 species
GAACUUCCGUUAAUUGAUUAUGACGUACUUGUACUGAUUGAGAUUUUAACACGAAGUGAGUGGCGAACGGGUGAGUAACACGUGGGUAACCUGCCCAGAAGUAGGGGAUAACACCUGGAAACAGAUGCUAAUACCGUAUAACAGAGAAAACCGCAUGGUUUUCUUUUAAAAGAUGGCUCUGCUAUCACUUCUGGAUGGACCCGCGGCGUAUUAGCUAGUUGGUGAGGUAAAGGCUCACCAAGGCAGUGAUACGUAGCCGACCUGAGAGGGUAAUCGGCCACAUUGGGACUGAGACACGGCCCAGACUCCUACGGGAGGCAGCAGUAGGGAAUCUUCCACAAUGGACGCAAGUCUGAUGGAGCAACGCCGCGUGAGUGAAGAAGGGUUUCGGCUCGUAAAGCUCUGUUGUUAAAGAAGAACGUGGGUAAGAGUAACUGUUUACCCAGUGACGGUAUUUAACCAGAAAGCCACGGCUAACUACGUGCCAGCAGCCGCGGUAAUACGUAGGUGGCAAGCGUUAUCCGGAUUUAUUGGGCGUAAAGCGAGCGCAGGCGGUCUUUUAAGUCUAAUGUGAAAGCCUUCGGCUCAACCGAAGAAGUGCAUUGGAAACUGGGAGACUUGAGUGCAGAAGAGGACAGUGGAACUCCAUGUGUAGCGGUGAAAUGCGUAGAUAUAUGGAAGAACACCAGUGGCGAAGGCGGCUGUCUGGUCUGCAACUGACGCUGA